ACUUCAUGAUUUGGGCAUUUGUCUAAUUUUCCAUUAAAUCAUUCCCAAGCUUCAAACAAUGGUUCUUCAUUUAUUUUCCAAAAAUUUAGAAUCUCGUCCUGCUCUU